UACAGAGGGUGCGAGCGUUGUCCGGAAUCACUGGGCGUAAAGGGCGCGUAGGUGGCGAGCCAAGUCCAUGGUGAAAGCUCGAUGCUCAGCAUCGAGUCGGCCACGGAUACUGGUGCGCUUGAGCACUGUAGAGGCUAAUGGAAUUCCGGGUGUAGCGGUGGAAUGCGUAGAGAUCCGGAAGAACACCGGUGGCGAAGGCGGUUAGCUGGGCAGUUGCUGACACUGAGGCGCGACAGCGUGGGGAGCAAACAGG
rnacentral:rRNA from 1 species